rnacentral:tRNA from 1 species
AUUUUCUUAGUAUAAUUAGUACUAGUGACUUCCAAUCACUAAACCUCAGUUAAAAUCUGAGAGAAAAUA